rnacentral:rRNA from 1 species
GAUGAACGCUGGCGGCGUGCCUAAUACAUGCAAGUCGAGCGAACAGACGAGGAUCUUGCUCCUCUGACGUUAGCGGCGGACGGGUGAGUAACACGUGGAUAACCUACCUAUAAGACUGGGAUAAUUUCGGGAAACCGGAGCUAAUACCGGAUAAUAUAUUGAACCGCAUGGUUCAAUAGUGAAAGACGGUUUUGCUGUCACUUAUAGAUGGAUCCGCGCCGCAUUAGCUAGUUGGUAAGGUAACGGCUUACCAAGGCAACGAUGCGUAGCCGACCUGAGAGGGUGAUCGGCCACCCUGGAACUGAGACACGGUCCAGACUCCUACGGGAGGCAGCAGUAGGGAAUCUUCCGCAAUGGGCGAAAGCCUGACGGAGCAACGCCGCGUGAGUGAUGAAGGUCUUCGGAUCGUAAAACUCUGUUAUUAGGGAAGAACAAAUGUGUAAGUAACUAUGCACGUCUUGACGGUACCUAAUCAGAAAGCCACGGCUAACUACGUG